UUAUUGGAGAUUUGAUCCUGGCUCAGGAUGAAAUCGCUGGCGGCGUGCCUAAUACAUGCAAGUCGAGCGAUGGAUUAUAGAGCUUGCUCUUCUGAAGUUAGGCGGACGGGUGAGUAAACGUGGGUACCUGCCAUAAGACUGGUGAUAAUCCGGGAAACCGGGGCUAAUACCGGAUAAUUAUGUUUGGACUGGCAUGGUUCUGAAAUUGAAAGGCGCGCUUUCGGCUGUCACUUAUGGAUGCCCAGCCGUCGCUGAGCUAGUUGGUGAGUAACGGCUCACCAAGGCAAACGAAUGGGCGUAGCCGACCUGCAGAGGUAUCGGCCACACUGGGACUGAGACACGGCCCGACUCCUACGGGAGGCAGCAAGUAGGGAAUCUUCCGCAAUGGACGAAAGUCUGACGGAGCAACGCCGCGUGAGUGAAUGAAAGGCUUUCGGGCGUAAACCUGUGUUAGGGAAGACCAAGUGCUAGUUGAUACCUGGCACGCUUGACGUCCUAAACCAGAACGCCACGGCUAACUACGUGCCCAGCAGCCGCGGUAUACGUAGUGGCAACGUUCAUUCCGGGAAUUAUUUGGGCGUAAAGCGCGCGCAGGUGGUUUCUUAAAGUCUGAUGUGAAAAGCCCACGGCUCACCCGGUGGGGGUCAUUGGAAACUGGGAGACUUGAGUGCAGAAGAGGAAAGUGGAAUUCCAUGUGUAGCGGUGGAAAUGCGAGAGAUAUGGAGGAACACAGUGGCGAAGGCGACUUCUGGCUGUAACUGACACCUUCGAGGCGCGAAGCGUGGGAGCACAGGAUUAGAUACCCUGGUUAGUCCAGCCGUAAAUCGAUGAGUGCUAAGUGUUAGAGGGUUUCCGCCCUUUAGUGCUGAAGUUUAACGAUUAAAGCAUCCGCCUGGGGAGUCGGCCGCAAGGCUGAAACUCAAAGGAAUUGACGGGGGGCCCGCACAAGCGGUGGAGAGUGGUUUAAUUCCGAAGCAGCGCGAAGAACCUUACGCAGGGUCUUGACAUCCUCUGAAACCUAAGAUAGGGCUUCUCCUUCGGGAGCAGAGUGACAGGUGGUGCAUGGUUUGUCGUCAGCUCGUGUCGUGAGAUGUUGGGUUAAGUCCGCAACGACGCACCUUGAUCUUAGUUUGCCAAUCAUUAAGUGGGCCACUCUAAGGUGACUGCGGUGCAAACCGGAGGAAGGUGGGGGAAUGACUCAAAUCAUCAUGCCCCUUAUGACCGGGCUACACACGUGCUACAAUGGACGGUAAAAGCGCUGCAAGACGCGAGGUGAGCUAAUCUCAUAAAACCGUUCUCAGUUCGGAUUGUAGGCUGCAACUCGCCUCAUGAAGCUGGAAUCGCUAGUAAGUCGCGACUCAGCAUGCCGCGGUGAAUACGUUCCCGGGCUCUUGUAACACAACCGGCCGUCCACCCGAGAGUUUUGUACACCCGAAGUCGGUGGGGUACCUUUUUGGAGCACCGCUAAGGUGGGACAGAUGAUUGGGGUGAAGUCGUAACAAGGUAAGCCGUAUCGGAAGGGUGCGGCUGGAUCACCUCCUUUCU
rnacentral:rRNA from 1 species